rnacentral:rRNA from 1 species
UACGUAGGGGGCGAGCGUUAUCCAGAUUUACUGGGCGUAAAGCGCGUGUAGGCGGCUGGUUAGGUGUGAUCUGAAAUCCUCGGGCUCAACCCGAGAACUGCAUUGCAAACCGGCCUGGCUAGAGUGCAGGAGAGGGAAGCGGAAUUCCAGGUGUAGCGGUGAAAUGCGUAGAUAUCUGGAGGAACACCGAUGGCGAAGGCAGCCCCCUGGGCUAACACUGACGCUCAUGCACGAAAGCGUGGGGAGCAAACAGG